rnacentral:rRNA from 1 species
GGAACGAACGCUGGCGGCAGGCUUAACACAUGCAAGUCGAGCGCCUCGCAAGAGGAGCGGCAGACGGGUGAGUAACGCGUGGGAAUCUACCUAGUUCUACGGAACAACUGAUGGAAACGUCAGCUAAUACCGUAUACGCCCUAAGGGGGAAAGAUUUAUCGGAAUUAGAUGAGCCCGCGUAAGAUUAGCUAGUUGGUGGGUAAUGGCCUACAAGGCGACGAUCUUUAGCUGGUCUGAGAGGAUGAUCAGCCACACUGGGACUGAGACACGGCCCAGACUCCUACGGGAGGCAGCAGGUGGGGAAUAGUUGGACAAGUGGGCGCAAGCCUGACUCCAGCCAUGCCGCGUGAGUGAUGAAGGCCUUAGGUGUAAAGCUCUUCAGUGGGAAGAUAAUGACGGUACCCACGAAGAACGAACGCCCGGACUAACUUCGACG